AACAUACUCCCUCUGUUCGGAAUUACUUGUCUCGGAUAUGGAUGUAUCUAGACGUAUUUUAGUUCUAGAUACAUCCAUAUUCGAGACAAGUAAUUCCGAACGGAGGGAGUAGAUU
rnacentral:pre_miRNA from 1 species